rnacentral:lncRNA from 1 species
GAAGAUGAAGUUGGAAAAUGAAAGGAAAAAACCAAUUUGUUUAAGUUUUUGUUGAUUGUAUCAUGGUAUUUGUUCAUUGCUUACCAUAAAUGGUGGUGAUUGUCAUUUGAAUGUGUUUGUAUUGUUUUCCGUCCCUCUAAUAAGCACUAUUUACGGUCUUUGUUUCCUCCUGUAAUAUUUAUUUAAUGAAUGAAUAUGAAGUUUUGAAUUUGUA